CGACCGCUGAGAAAGAUCCGGCAACACCGCAACACUCGAACAAUCGGGACGGUAGCCAUAGAAACGCUCGUUCCGUAUAUAUAUACAACAAAAGGGCGACCGAGCUCCGGUCUUCGUUGCAGAGUAGACCAUCAGAGUAGCCGCGACGCCUACGCGGAGGGACUCGCGGCGCCCCCCCCCCCCCCAAAGCCGGCCGAAGGUUAGCUCCGCCGAACGCGCGACGAAUGAAGGGACCGCAUGGCAAAAACGCGGCCCCGAUCGACCGACGGGGAGGGCGCAGAAACGAAUUUCCCAGAAACGUUCGAAGGGCACCAGCGCCUCCCCGGAUCGCCGGAUCACGAUACCCGACCUUAUCGGACGUCGGCACCGUAGGACCCGUCCGCCGACGGAACCACGAGCCCGCGGGACGAACGGGGAGGUACGAAGUGACCGUUACAAGGAAUCGACCGACGAAACGGUCCGAGGGGCACCACGCCCACCCCGGGAGUUCGGGGUCGAAAAUUCAGCGGGGACGGGACGCCGGCCGGCCGGGGGCACCCGCUGACCGAAACUCCGGGGCGCGGGCCGAACGUGACGGGAGCGGUGGCGGUUUUUCCGAAAACGGUCGCGGGGCACCAGCGCCCCUCCCGGGUCGCCGGAUCCGAAAUCCGACCUUAUCGGACGUCGGCACAGUAGGACCCGUCCGCAGACGGAACCCCGAGCCCGGGGGACGAACGGGGAGGUACGAAGUGACCGUUACAAGGAAUCGGCCGACGGAACGGUCCGAGGGGCACCGCGCCCCCCCGAUUCGCAAAAAAACGAAACGGCCGGAGGGACAAGGAGCCGAUAGCAGGGACGCGACCGCACGUCGAAGCGCGACCGGAAAGACGCGCGCCAGGCCGAGGGACGGGCGAAAAACGGAACCACCCCCGGGGCCCGUAGCAACCCCCCCGGGGGUGGGAACGGGAAAACCCGCGGGGGGAACGAAGACCCGGCCGCGAGGGGUCCGCCGAACGAACAUCAAGGGCGCGGGACGCGCUGGGACGGCGUGGCGGGGACAGAUGUUCAGAGGGUCGCGGGGUAAAUCGUAUAACUUUAUAUAAGAGAAUAUGCUUUUUGGGGAAUUUUUCGAGACAGACUUUCUCUGAAAAAGCUCGAUUUUUAGGGAUUUUUCCGGGGAAAAUUGAGCUGAUCUAGAAAAAGGAAGGUCAUUUCCG
rnacentral:lncRNA from 1 species